GGGUGCUCAUGGUGGCCUCCAAAUAAAUACAUGGACAGGCUGCUAAAGAGGGUCAGGAUGAUGGAGAUGCAAGAGCCAAAGACAGCACGGACCAAACACCAGGCCAGAAUUCUGCAUGAGUCAGCUGUAAAAAACAAAAGAAUGAAACAGUACCUGCAUUUUAGUUUCCAGCCUUUUUCACAAAGUUGCCGACAACUGGAAGAAUGUCCCAAAUUGCUGAAAAAAGAAAUUCAAUUGAGUAAUUUUCACUCUAGAGACCCUGGGGUGACCACCAAGGACGAAUGAAAACUCCAGUGAGUGUCUCUAAGGUAGAUCCUAAUGCAGAUGGAUGGAAUGUUGAUCCGCCUAACAUGCAAGAUUUUCUGUACCGAGAACUUUGGAUGACCAUCAAGACAAGCACUCGUUUUGAGUCCUGAGACCCUGGGGUGAUCACCGUGAACAAAUACAGACUGCAAAAAGGCAGUCUUGACGGUUCUAGGAUGAAUGCAAAUAAAGACUGACCACCUGACUUCAGCGGUCCAGUCUCUUGUUGGAAGCAGGUGUUUGUUACCCCAAAUACGGAUGAAGAGUGACGAAGAGGAUGAUGACUUUUUUCUCAAACAUCAUCUGAAGGAUCUUGACAGGCUGGAGACAAAAUUAACAGACUGAGGGUUUAUACAAAGAAUCUUACUCAGCCAAUAUUAAAGAUAAGAUAUUUUUACAAAA